rnacentral:rRNA from 1 species
GAUGAACGCUAGCGGCAGGCCUAAUACAUGCAAGUCGGACGGGAUUUGGGAGCUUGCUUCUGAUGAGAGUGGCGCACGGGUGCGUAACACGUAUGUAACCUACCUUAACCAGGGGGAUAGCCUCUCGAAAGAGAGAUUAACACAGCAUAAAAUAAUGAACUGGCAUCUGUUUAUUAUUAAAUAUUUAUAGGGUUAAGAUGGGCAUGCGGAACAUUAGCUAGUUGGUAAGGUAAUGGCUUACCAAGGCUACGAUGUUUAGGGGAUCUGAGAGGAUGACCCCCCACACUGGUACUGAGACACGGACCAGACUCCUACGGGAGGCAGCAGUAAGGAAUAUUGGUCAAUGGGCGGAAGCCUGAACCAGCCAUGCCGCGUGCAGGAAGACGGCCCUAUGGGUUGUAAACUGCUUUUGUACCGGAAUAAACCUUUGGUCGUGACCGAAGCUGAAUGUACGGUAAGAAUAAGGAUCGGCUAACUCCGUGCCAGCCGCCGCAGUAA